AAGGUAUAUAUGUGUGUGUAUUGUUAGUAAAAUGCUAAGUAGGACGAAACGUGGUAGGUUGACUAACAAAAUUGACUGCAGACUUGAAAGACAGUAACUGUGCUAAUGAUGCAGUAAGUAAUUAAAUGUAAACAAUGAAUUAAAAAUAUCUAGAGAGAAAGAUAGAUAGAAAGAGAGUGUAAGAGAGAGAGAGAGAGUAGGUAUUCGCUUUCACAGUGGAAACCCUUUCUUGUUGCGCCGCCCUGUCCGGCAGUCCAGCCACCUAUGAUCUCGUCUUUUGUAGCCACCUUUCCUCUAAUCUAUUGUGGCUAUUGCAACUCCUUCUCCUCGGACAAUUCCGUCCAACUUUGUCUGGCCCUCAUCGCUGCAACUUUUUUCCGGCGACGCCCCCUUGGUUUGUCAUAGCGGUGCCACAUCUUCUGCUUUCUUCUUCCUCCGUUGUUGAACGGUAAUCACCAGUUUGUUGUUACUACACACCAUCCAAUUCUCAACGCUCAACACCAUCAAUCCAAUACGAAGUGAAUCUGUUCAACCAACCCCUAUUUUUGACAGAUCAGCAGAAGAAUCUGGACGUUCUGCUGUGUUCACGCCGAUCUUUAUCACAACAUGUCCUCUCUGAUGUGGUUGUCAUCAUCAUCGAUGUAGCAGCGGCAGAGAAAAGGGACACUGAAAUGCACAAUGAAGGCGAAGUUCACGCGAUGUGUGUUUGUUGUUAGUAAAAUGCUAAGUAGGACGAAACGUUGUUGCACAGUUUUUAUUUUGUUCUGUUCUUUGAGGUUAAAACAAGCAUACUGCAAAAAGGAUAACUUGAAUAUUUUCCUAAGCUAAUCAUCAAGGUCGAAAUCUAUAUGCCUAAGCCUUCUAUCAUCCAAGGCAAGCUAAGGUACCAGAAUUGGCACCACUGGCAGCAGAAACGUCGCAUUGGUAGCAACUUGUGAAAAUUAAAGUUCAAAAGCACCAACGAGCUCCCACCGAUCGAGUAGAGGAAUGUUGGAUUGAGAUGAGAUGAGUUUAACUUUUUUUUUUGGUUUUUUUUAUUGGUCAUGGGUUAUAAGCCCAACAAGACACCUCAGCCAAAACCUAAACCCAUCUUUAUCUUCCCAACCUAUCUGAAACUAACUCCCGCUUCUCUCCUUGAAUUUUUUGUUGAAUCAAUUUCCAUAGUACAUUCAAAUUAGCUAACUCCCACGAUGGGUUCUCCAAACUCUUAACGCAAAUUCUCUUUCUCCAACCACUCCUAAUGACAACGCCACUCUUCUCCUUCUUCAGCCUGGUAUCAGUUGCCACCGCUGCCUUUCAUCAGAGAUUGCGUUCGUCAAUGCUCCUCCCUUAUAAUUAUGUUGUUCUAACUUGCAGGGUGAUUCUUUGCGCAUCUGUACAAUUAUUUCUAAGGGCGGUCUGAUGAUCCAUGAUCUCUCCAGGGUUCCCAUAGCCUCCAAUGCUGCAACCUUGUGAGCCAACCGAUUUUCUUCUCUUGGAGUCCAUGUGAAGCCAAAUUCGGUUUCUCCUCUUGUGAGUUCAAAAAUAUCCAAUAAAAUAGGAUCAAUUUCACCUAUUCUACUUUUUUAUUUUAACGUCUGUACUAGCAUUACAUUAUCUGAUUCUAUUAACACCUUUAUCUCCAUGCUUUUUGAUGGAAUAAUGGCAUGCCUGAUUACUAAAGCUUCUGCUGCUAGACUAGAACACGCCAUAAUUUUCGUUGAUUCCCCAAUUACAAGAUUUCCUGUGCUGUCACUGAUUGUCACUGUAGUGGCUCCUGUCCUCAUUGUUGCUUUAAAGAAUGCAUCAACAUUAGCCUUUACCCAAGGCUCUGGGGGAGGUCUCCAGUUCCUCAAUUUUGGACUGCAGUUCCCUUUCCAUCUCCAGAAAAGAGGAAGUUGACGCUUCCAAUGUAGUUUCCUUUAACUAGGAGCUUAUCAAGAGCCAUGGCUGAAACUAACUUCAAUUCCAAAAGUAAUCCACUUUCCUCCAUUGGAAACAAUAAUCAUUGCCGACAAGCCAUUAGCAGAGAAAAGCAAACGAAGAAACUUUGAAUGAUGAGAAAAGAGAAUAUUAAAAGGAAAAAGUUUACCACUUCAAUUGAGUUAAAAAGGGGCACCGUAUAAGAUGGGGGCACAAACCAAACCCUAAACCCCAAUCCAAAAAGCGAAGUGGAGUGCAGUGCAACAGAACAAAUUGAGAAUCCUUUUGAUAAUUGCGUCAAGAUAGUAGAAGAGCAGGGAGAAUCAUGGCGCCGAGGAGGAUCUCGGAAGAACUGAAGAGGCUUAUGCAACCAUAGAGAUUCUUGGAAGAGACAACCUUGAGAGGCAAUCCAUACUGAAUUUGGUUUCUGUGAACAGUUUCAAGGGAGUCAUCAUGGUAGCCGGUGAUGCCCUCAUCAACAGUGAGCAGGAAGAGAUGGAGGCCAUAGUCAUUAUGUAUCCAC